CCGAGAUUUUUUCCUGCUUGCAGGAAAUCUCCCACCCUUUGUGUACCACAUUUUAUACUUUGGUGAAGCGUUCUUCUCGAAGACCAUCGGCUAUCUAGCGGGUGUGUCUUCACCAAAGGACCCCUUAACUCUUAUUUUAUAAAAUUGUCUGAGUUUAUAUUUUAAAUAAACA
rnacentral:misc_RNA from 1 species